UGAUUACUGUGAGAGUAGUUCCUCCAAUGUAUCAACGGGUUAGGGUUAGGGUUACCCUAACCCAAAGUAUAUGAUUACUGUGAGAGUAGUUCCUCCAAUGUAUCAACGGGUUAGGGUUAGGGUUACCCUAACCCAAAGUAUAUGAUUACUGUGAGAGUAGAUCCUCCAAUGUAUCAACGGGUUAGGGUUACCCUAACCCAAAGUAUAUGAUUACUGUGGGAGUAGAUCCUCCAAUGUAUCAACGGGUUAGGGUUACCCUAACCCAAAGUAUAUGAUUACUGUGAGAGUAGAUCCUCCAAUGUAUCAACGGGUUAGGGUUACCCUAACCCAAAGUAUAUGAUUACUGUGAGAGUAGUUCCUCCAAUGUAUCAACGGGUUAGGGUUAGGGUUACCCUAACCCAAAGUAUAUGAUUACUGUGAGAGUAGUUCCUCCAAUGUAUCAACGGGUUAGGGUUAGGGUUACCCUAACCCAAAGUAUAUGAUUACUGUGAGAGUAGUUCCUCCAAUGUAUCAACGGGUUAGGGUUAGGGUUACCCUAACCCAAAGUAUAUGAUUACUGUGAGAGUAGAUCCUCCAAUGUAUCAACGGGUUAGGGUUAGGGUUACCCUAACCCAAAGUAUAUGAUUACUGUGAGAGUAGUUCCUCCAAUGUAUCAACGAUAAGUGUCUCUCUCUCUCCCCCUCUCCAUCUCCUUUGUAACAAGUUGUGUCAGUACGCUAGGGACCUGUUCCUAAUACAUUAUUAGGUGUGUGUGUUUAUCCUGUGUUAUCAUUUAGUUAGCUAGUAAAUAAAUUAAACCAAUUUGUGUAGUACUGAAUCAUAAGUAAGGCUGGGUUUUUUGCAGAUGCAGGUUACGACUGUUCAGAAUGAUGGUAUGACACGAGGUUAUGAUUAAGACGUUGGUUUAUGAUAGGUAAACCCUUUAGAUUUUAAUUUGGGAGAUGGUAACUAUUUAAACAACCGCUUUCAUGGUGCCUCAAAUUCCUAAUGAGUUAAUUGUUACAUGUUUAAUUUAUUCGGGUAACAAUUAAACAUAGUUGAUUAGAUAAAUAGCCGGCAAUAGAAUAAUGAAAGUAAAGUCACGACAAUCCUGAUCCUGCCCAUUUUACAAUAUAAUAGAAUAAUAUAUAUCUAAAUAUAUACAGGGUUAGGGUUAUAAUAUAAUAAUAUAAUAGAAUAAUAUAUAUCUAAAUAUAUACAGGGUUAUGGUUAUAAUAGAAUAAUAUAACAGAAUAAUAUAUAUCUAAAUAUAUACAGUACCAGUCAAAAGUUUGGACA